rnacentral:rRNA from 1 species
UACGUAGGGUGCGAGCGUUGCCCGGAAUUAUUGGGCGUAAAGAGCUCGUAGGCGGUUUGUCGCGUCUGCUGUGAAAGACCGGGGCUCAACUCCGGUUCUGCAGUGGGUACGGGCAGACUAGAGUGCAGUAGGGGAGACUGGAAUUCCUGGUGUAGCGGUGGAAUGCGCAGAUAUCAGGAGGAACACCGGUGGCGAAGGCGGGAUCCUGGGCCAGUACUGACGCUGAGGAGCGAAAGCGUGGGGAGCAAACAGG